UCCUACGGGGGGCAGCAGUGAGGAAUAUUGGUCAAUGGCCGGAAGGCUGAACCAGCCAAGCCGCGUGAAGGACGAAGGUGCCAAGCAUUGUAAACUUCUUUUGUCAAGGGACAAAAUCAGGCUCGAGAGCCUGACCGAGGGUACUUGAAGAAAAAGCAUCGGCUAACUCCGUGCCAGCAGCCGCGGUAAUACGGAGGAUGCGAGCGUUAUCCGGAUUUAUUGGGUUUAAAGGGUGCGUAGGCGGGAUGCCAAGUCAGCGGUAAAAAUGCGGUGCUUAACGCCGUCGAGCCGUUGAAACUGGCGUU
rnacentral:rRNA from 1 species